rnacentral:rRNA from 1 species
UACGAAGGGGGCUAGCGUUGUUCGGAUUUACUGGGCGUAAAGGGCGCGUAGGCGGAUUUUUAAGUCAGGGGUGAAAUCCCAAGGCUCAACCUUGGAACUGCCUUUGAUACUGGGAAUCUUGAGUCCGGGAGGGGUGAGUGGAACUGCGAGUGUAGAGGUGAAAUUCGUAGAUAUUCGCAAGAACACCAGUGGCGAAGGCGGCUCACUGGCCCGGAACUGACGCUGAGGCGCGAAAGCGUGGGGAGCAAACAGG